rnacentral:rRNA from 1 species
GCAAGUCGAACGGCAGCAUGACAGAGCUUGCUCUGUUGAUGGCGAGUGGCGGACGGGUGAGUAACACAUAGGAAUCUAUCCAGUAGCUGGGGAUAACUCGAAGAAAUUCGAGCUAAUACCGAAUACGCACUACGGUGGAAAGAGGGGGCUCUUCGGACCUCUCACUAUCGGGUGAGCCUAUGCCGGAUUAGCUGGUUGGUGGGGUAAUGGCCUACCAAGGCGACGAUCCGUAGCUGGUCUGAGAGGACGAUC